rnacentral:rRNA from 1 species
AUUGAACGCUGGCGGCAGGCCUAACACAUGCAAGUCGAGCGCGCGGCGGACGGGUGAGUAAUGUAUGGGGAUCUGCCCGAUGGAGGGGGAUAACUACUGGAAACGGUAGCUACUACCGCAUACUAUCGGAUGAACCCAUAUGGGAUUAGCUAGUAGGUGGGGUAAAGGCGCACCUAGGCGACGAUCCCUAGCUGGUCUGAGAGGAUGAUCAGCCACACUGGAACUGAGACACGGCCCAGACUCCGACGGGAGGCAGCAGUGGGGAAUAUUGCACAAUGGGCGAAAGCCUGAUGCAGCCAUGCCGCGUGUAUGAAGAAGGCCUUCGGGUUGUAAAGUACUUUCAGCGAGGAGGCGUUACUCGCAGAAGAAGCACCGGCUAACUCCGUGCCAGCCGCCGCGGUAAUUC